rnacentral:rRNA from 1 species
UACAGAGGGGGCAAGCGUUGUUCGGAAUUACUGGGCGUAAAGGCGCGUAGGCGGCCUGUUAAGUCGAACGUGAAAUCCCCGGGCUCAACCCGGGAACUGCGUCCGAUACUGGCAGGCUUGAAUCCGGGAGAGGGAUGCGGAAUUCCAGGUGUAGCGGUGAAAUGCGUAGAUAUCUGGAGGAACACCGGUGGCGAAGGCGGCAUCCUGGACCGGCAUUGACGCUGAGGAGCGAAAGCGUGGGGAGCGAACAGG